rnacentral:rRNA from 1 species
CAAACUGCGUGCGAGCAGCCGGGGGAAUACGGAGGAUACAAGCUUUAUCCGUGUUUAUUGGGUUUAAAGGGGGCGUAGGCGGCCUAUUAAGUCAGUAGUGAAAGCUUGCAGCUUAACGGUUAAAACUGCUAUUGAUACUGAUGGGCUUGAGUGAGGUUGGAGUAGCUGGAAUGUGUGGUGUAGCGGUGAAAUGCAUAGAUAUCACACAGAACACCGAUCGCGAAGGCAAGUUACUAAGCCUAUACUGACGCUGAGGCACGAAAGCGUGGGGAGCAAAUAGGAUUAGAUACCCCAGUAGUC